AGAGUUUGAUCCUGGCUCAGAACGAACGCUGGCGGCAGGCUUAACACAUGCAAGUCGAACGAUCCCUUCGGGGAUAGUGGCAGACGGGUGAGUAACGCGUGGGAACCUACCUGGUAGUAUGGAAUAACACAGAGAAAUUUGUGCUAAUACCGUAUACGCCCUUUUGGGGAAAGAUUUAUCGCUAUCAGAUGGGCCCGCGUUGGAUUAGCUAGUUGGUGGGGUAAUGGCCUACCAAGGCGACGAUCUAUAGCUGGUCUGAGAGGAUGAUCAGCCACACUGGGACUGAGACACGGCCCAGACUCCUACGGGAGGCAGCAGUGGGGAAUAUUGGACAAUGGGGGCAACCCUGAUCCAGCCAUGCCGCGUGAGUGAUGAAGGCCCUAGGGUUGUAAAGCUCUUUCAACGGUGAAGAUAAUGACGGUAACCGUAGAAGAAGCCCCGGCUAACUUCGUGCCAGCAGCCGCGGUAAUACGAAGGGGGCUAGCGUUGUUCGGAAAUUACUGGGCCGUAAAGCGUACGUAGGCGGACUGAUCAGUCAGGGGUGAAAUCCCGGGGCUCCACCCCCGGAACUGCCUUUGAUACUGUCCAGUCUUGAGUUCGAGAGAGGUGAGUGGAAUUCCGAGUGUAAAGGUGAAAUUCCUAAAAUUCCGAGGAACCCAGUGGCCAAAGGCGGGCUCAUUGGCUCCGAUACUGACCCUGAGUACAAAGCGUGGGGAGCAAACAGGAUUAGAUAACCUGGUAGUCCACGCCGUAAACGAUGAAUUUUAGCCGUCGGGCAGUAUAUGUUGGUGGGGCAGCUAACGCAUUAACAUUCCGCCUGGGGAGUACGGUGGCAAGAUUAAAAUCAAAGGAAUUGACGGGGGCCCGCACAAGCGGUGGAGCAUGUGGUUUAAUUGAAGCAACGCGCAGAACCUUACCAGCCCUUGACAUACCGGUUGCGGUUAGUGGAGACACUAUCCUUCAGUUCGGCUGGACCGGAUACAGGUGCUGCAUGGCUGUCGUCAGCUCGUGUCGUGAGAUGUUGGGUUAAGUCCCGCAACGAGCGCAACCCUCGCCCUUAGUUGCCAGCAUUUAGUUGGGCACUCUAGGGGGACUGCCGGUGAUAAGCCGGAGGAAGGUGGGGAUGACGUCAAGUCCUCAUGGCCCUUACGGGCUGGGCUACACACGUGCUACAAUGGUGGUGACAGUGGGCAGCGAGAUCGCAAGGUCGAGCUAAUCUCCAAAAGCCAUCUCAGUUCGGAUUGGGGUCUGCAACUCGACCCCAUGAAGUUGGAAUCGCUAGUAAUCGCGGAUCAGCAUGCCGCGGUGAAUACGUUCCCGGGCCUUGUACACACCGCCCGUCACACCAUGGGAGUUGGUCUUACCCGAAGGCGAUGCGCUAACCGUAAGGGGGCAGUCGACCACGGUAGGGUCAGCGACUGGGGUGAAGUCGUAACAAGGUAGCCGUA
rnacentral:rRNA from 2 species